rnacentral:rRNA from 1 species
UACGUAGGGACCAAGCGUUGUUCGGAUUUACUGGGCGUAAAGGGCGCGUAGGCGGCGCAAUAAGUCACUUGUGAAAUCUCCGGGCUUAACUCGGAGCGGCCAAGUGAUACUGUUGUGCUAGAGUGCAGAAAGGGCAAUCGGAAUUCUCGGUGUAGCGGUGAAAUGCGUAGAUAUCGAGAGGAACACCUGAGGCGAAGGCGGGUUGCUGGGCCGACACUGACGCUGAUGCGCGAAAGCCAGGGGAGCGAACGGG